GGGUCGAUUGACGCUGAGGCACGAAAGCGUGGGGAUCAAACAGGAUUAGAUACCCUGGUAGUCCACGCAGUAAACGAUGAUGGCUAACCGCUGGGCCAAUCGGUUCAGUGGCCAAGCGAAAGCGAUAAGCCAUCCACCUGGGGAGUACGACCGCAAGGUUGAAACUCAAAGGAAUUGACGGGGGCCCGCACAAGCGGAGGAACAUGUGGUUUAAUUCGAUGAUACGCGAGGAACCUUACCCGGGCUCGAACGGCUGGUGAAGAGAUCCAGAGAUGGUGACGUCCUUCGGGACACCAGUCGAGGUGCUGCAUGGUUGUCGUCAGCUCGUGCCGUGAGGUGUCGGCUCAAGUGCCAUAACGAGCGCAACCCUUGCCGUCAGUUACCAUCAAGUAGAGUUGGGGACUCUGGCGGGACUGCCACCGCAAGGUGUGAGGAAGGGGGGGAUGACGUCAAAUCAGCACGGCCCUUACGUCCGGGGCGACACACGUGUUACAAUGGCGGCCACAGAGGGGCACUACCUGGCGACAGGAUGGGAAUCUCGAAAAGCCGUCUCAGUCCGGAUCGGAGUCUGCAACCCGACUCCGUGAAGCUGGAUUCGCUA
rnacentral:rRNA from 1 species